rnacentral:rRNA from 1 species
GUCUAAGGCCAUACCACCCUGAACACGCCCGAUCUCGUCUGAUCUCGGAAGCUAAGCAGGGUCGGGCCUGGUUAGUACUUGGAUGGGAGAGAUCUGCUUGUCUCAUCCU